rnacentral:RNase_P_RNA from 1 species
CGGGCAAUUGCUAUUCUUAAAAAGGAUAGAGGAAAGUCCGAACUUCACAGAACAGAGUGCCGGGUAACGCCCGGGGUUCCGAAUUUCAGGAAUACGGAAAGUGCCACAGAAAAUAUACCGUCUCGAUUUUCGAGAUAAGGGUGAAAAGGCAGGGUAAGAGCCUACCGCGGAAAUGGUAACAUUUCCGGUCCCGUCAAGGGAUCUUGCGAAAGCAAGACAAGGUAAACCCCACUCGAAGCAAGGCCAAGCAGGAAACCCUCCGUGUUUUUUCAGAGCAAAGUUGUUCGCUUUGAUUGUCUGUUCUUAUACAGACAUGGUUUCCGGGUGGACCGCGAGAGGCUGACAGUAAUGUUAGUCCCAGAUAAAUAAUUGCCGUCCCUGACGAUCAGGGAUUACAGAAUUCGGCUUAUAAG